rnacentral:rRNA from 1 species
CCUACGGGAGGCUGCAGUGGGGAAUAUUGGACAAUGGGGGGAACCCUGAUCCAGCCAUGCCGCGUGUGUGAAGAAGGCCCUCGGGUUGUAAAGCACUUUCAGUGAGGAAGAACGCCUGGUGGUUAAUACCCAUCAGGAAAGACAUCACUCACAGAAGAAGCACCGGCUAACUCCGUGCCAGCAGCCGCGGUAAUACGGAGGGUGCGAGCGUUAAUCGGAAUUACUGGGCGUAAAGCGCGCGUAGGUGGCUUGAUAAGCCGGUUGUGAAAGCCCCGGGCUCAACCUGGGAACGGCAUCCGGAACUGGCAAGCUAGAGUGCAGGAGAGGAAGGUAGAAUUCCCGGUGUAGCGGUGAAAUGCGUAGAGAUCGGGAGGAAUACCAGUGGCGAAGGCGGCCUUCUGGACUGACACUGACACUGAGGUGCGAAAGCGUGGGUAGCAAACAGGAUUAGAUACCCUAGUAGUC